UCAGCUCCUUCUAGUUUUAUUUAUUUUUUGAUUUAACCUUUAUUUGGCCAGGAAAUGUCCCAUUGAGAUUAAGAAUCUCCUUUUCAGGGGAGUCCUAUGGUGGCAGCGAUAUCAUGAAAGCUAUGAAAGGAGUUGCUUCAGCGAUGUUGAAGCAUUGUAAUUCCUGUUUCAAAGCAACACAAUCUGCAAGUAACACAUCAUCAAAACGACAAAGCGUCGCGUCAUAGCAUCAAGAUAUCGAAGCAGUUAGCGUUAAGCGGUCAACAGAAGGUGCAUAUCCCCAUUUCACACGCUCCAACUGGCGUUUAUUCAUCCCCGUGGACAGGUGAACUUCAUUCGUAUAAUCACAGCUGUCUACCUAAAUGACACCCCCACCAAAUCAAGAAAUAAAUACUCCACAAAUUAACAGUUUUGACACCUACUGUACAUUCCAGUCCCUAAUUCUCUAAAGAAUAGUUACAAACUACAUGUAAGAAGACAAAACUACACUGAAAAAAGUAAACCAUUGCUGUCAUCAGUUUGAUGCGUUUCUACUCAUUGCAUUAAUAUAAAAAUUUUAAUUUACUCUCUUGAACUCAAUUCUUAUAAGUUAUGCAAUGUGUCUUUGUUUUUUUUUACUUUACUUUAAUGUAAAUGAUAACAGGGUACCAAAGUAAAAUUUUUUCGUUUUGUGAAAGCACAAUUAUUAGGUUGAGUUUGAUGUGCGCAUGCGCACUAAAUGAAAUGCAAAUUUGGCGGGCCGUAUUUCUGCCAUAAUCUGAACUGCUUCUCAGAGCGACAACUCGACAAGUAAGGUAAAACAACAUCAACAAAAAUCAUUGUAUAUUAAUUAGUUCAGUCGUUUUCUCCUUGUACAUUUAAACGAGGAUUUCCUUCACUGCCUGGACACAAUUUUCAGACGACGUUAGUCGGUCCCCAACCCCCAGCAGCAGUAAGUUUGUUUGGAAAAGAGGAACUAACCGCCGCCAGGAGACCGACAGCAGCAGCUUAAAGACACUCUUCGGUUUCUGCUCUGCAUCCAGUCUGGAAGCCUUUGACUAACUUUUGAUAAAUGCAGACUUCUUGAGAGUUACAACAAUUACUUUGGAGGCAAAGUUUUUUGCACAGUUGGACAAACACUCCACCAAACUUCUAGAGGUCAUCAGGAGCAAUGGAGGGCGUGUGAAAGAGCAGACCACCAACAUCUUAGAAGUUCUGGAUGAAGGAUUGUUGACAUUACCAUCAGAGGAGAAGCCAUCCUAAAAUCUCUGAUGAUCUACUUGGUGAAUCUUUUGAGCACCUCAUUAAAGAACACCAGAACGGUCUGGACAGUGAUGCUCCGCAGAUUGAAACCAUGGCGAUCUUUCUCACUGGGAGAGAGGAUCUUCUCCGUCCACCAACAGACAUCAAGAUAGUGAUGGAUGAAAAAAGUUUUCAGACUGAACAGCCAGCUAUAAGUUAGUGUCAAUUAAUGUUUUUUUUCCCCUCACUUAAGUGUAUUAGUAUUGGGAAACAGUUUUGAUGUUUAUACAUCUUAAAGAUGUCAUGUUUGUAAAUUUGGAUGUGGAUAUGUUCAUGGAACAAUAAAUAUUGUUUACAUGAA